CCUACGGGAGGCAGCAGUGGGGAAUAUUGCACAAUGGAGGGAACUCUGAUGCAGCGACGCCGCGUGAGUGAAGAAGUAAUUCGUUAUGUAAAGCUCUAUCAGCAGGGAAGAAAGUGACGGUACCUGAAAAAGAAGCUCCGGCUAAAUGCGUGCCAGCAGCCGCGGUAAUACGUAUGGAGCAAGCGUUAUCCGGAUUUACUGGGUGUAAAGGGAGAGUAGGUGGCAGAGCAAGUCCGAAGUGAAAACCCAAAGCUCAACUAUGGGAAUGCUUUAGAAACUGCUCAGCUAGAGUGCAGGAGAGGCAAGGUGAAGUCUGAGGGGAGCGGGGAAAUGGGGAGAUAAUAGGAGGAACACCAGGGGCGAAGGCGGCCUGGUGGACUUGAACUGAAACUGAGGCUCGAAAGCGUGGGGAGCAAACAGGAUUAGAUACCCGAGUAGUC
rnacentral:rRNA from 1 species